GACGAACGCUGGCGGCGUGCCUAACACAUGCAAGUCGAGCGAACAGAUCAGGAGCUUGCUCCGUUGACGUUAGCGGCGGACGGGUGAGUAACAUGUGGAUAACCCACCUAUAAGACUGGGAUAACUUCGGGAAACCGGAGCUAAUACCGGAUAACAUAUUGAACCGCUGGGUUCAAUAGUGAAAGGCGGCUUUGCUGUCACUCAUAGAUGGAUCCGCGCCGUAUUAGCUAGUUGGUAAGGUAACGGCUUACCAGGGCAACGAUACGUAGCCGACCUGAAAGGGGGGUCGGCCACACUGGAGGUGAGACACGGCCCAGACACCUGCGGGAGGCAGCAGUAGGGAAUGUUCCGCGAUGGGGGAAAGCCUGACGGAGGACCGCCGCGUGAAUGAUGAAGGUCUUCGGAUCGGAAAACUCUGUUAGCAGGGAAGAACAAAUGUGUAAGGGACUGUGCAGAUCUUGACGGUACCGGAUCAAAAAGCAACGGCUAACUACGUG
rnacentral:rRNA from 1 species